rnacentral:rRNA from 1 species
AUUGAACGCUGGCGGCAGGCCUAACACAUGCAAGUCGAACGGUAGCACAGAGGAGCUUGCUCCUUGGGUGACGAGUGGCGGACGGGUGAGUAAUGUCUGGGAAACUGCCCGAUGGAGGGGGAUAACUACUGGAAACGGUAGCUAAUACCGCAUAACGUCGCAAGACCAAAGAGGGGGACCUUCGGGCCUCUUGCCAUCGGAUGUGCCCAGAUGGGAUUAGCUAGUAGGUGGGGUAACGGCUCACCUAGGCGACGAUCCCUAGCUGGUCUGAGAGGAUGACCAGCCACACUGGAACUGAGACACGGGCCAGACUCCUACGGGAGGCAGCAGUGGGGAAUAUUGCACAAUGGGCGCAAGCCUGAUGCAGCCAUGCCGCGUGUAUGAAGAAGGCCUUCGGGUUGUAAAGUACUUUCAGCGAGGAGGAAGGCAUUAAGGUUAAUAACCUUAGUGAUUGACGUUACUCGCAGAAGAAGCACCGGCUAACUCCGUGCCAGCCGCCGCCGUAA